rnacentral:tRNA from 2 species
GCGGAUGUGAUGGAACUGGUAGACAUGCAAGAUUUAGGUUCUUGUGCUGUGAGGCGUGGGGGUUCAAGUCCCUUCAUCCGUA